CCCUCCAUUCCCUUCAUUUAGUGCCGUAUCCUCUUCAUAUCGACAGCUUCGCUCUGGUUAGGAAGUAAAGAGUAGUCCCUUAAGUCGUAGCUGAUUCACCAUGAGAGCCAAGUGGAAGAAGAAGCGUAUGAGGAGGUUGAAGAGGAAGCGCCGAAAGAUGAGGCAGAGAUCUAAGUAAAGGCCUAUUCCGCACGACUCAGCAUUCUUAGCUUUUGGCGUAUCUUCUUUGCCUUAGGUUAUUGCGUCUUUUUGUUUCCUUUUUCAGAACAUUGCAGUUAAUUUCUCCUAGUGUUUUUGUGCUAAUGGCACCUAAUGUACUUCUGCUUUUGAGGUAUAUUGAAACUCUUAUAGCCAUUUUCGCUUAUAAUUUUAUGAUAUUUACUCCUUAAUUUAGUAAACUUCACCAGAUUUAUUU